CAAACACACACAAACCAUGUUUUUCUCUCUAGCGAGGAAAGAUGGCUGGUUCUCAGGCGUGAAACAGGAGACUCGCGCGAGUGUCCCACUGUCCCCCUCUCUCCACUGGGGAACACAGAGCUGCUAUUCAGCAGCCAUUAUCCUCCAUGAUGAGAGAUAAAAUGAGCUCCCUGAUGACAAUUGCCAGAGGAGCAAACUAGAAGGAAAGAGUGGCUGAGAAAGAAAGAGGGAAUGGAUGUGAGAAUGAGAAUAAAUGAGAGUGGAGGAGGAGAGAGAAAGAGAAUGAAAUAUGGAGAGAAUGUGAGAGGCAGAGAAUUCCGAAUGAAUCAACGGUGAAGGAGGAUGAGGGGAAAGCGAGAUAAUGGUAGAGAGUGGAAACGGGACAGAAGAAAAGAAUGAAAGAACCAGAGGACAAGAGAAGGGAAAAGAGACGGUGAAUAGGUUUGAAUGAGAAAUGAACGGGGAAGAGAGAGAGAUGGUGAAAGACAGGGGAGGAAAUGAAAGUGAGACUGAGAAGACAGGACAGCCCUGUCUAGUGUAAUCCCAAUGCAACAGGUAUUAGAGUGUCCCUGUGACACAGUGGACACGCUGGUCGUCACAAUGCUUUAUGGCUUUUUAAUGGGACUUUGUGUCCCACUAAGCGACCGGAGCAUUGUCCUCGUAAAUCAAACGCUUUUUGUUUUAAAGAUGCAGAGGCAGUCGGCGACAGGAAUGUGUUGCUACUACAUUUCUGUGAGCGGAUUUCAUUGUCAAUGACAUCAUUGGGCUUCAUUGUGUGCUACCUGAUCCGACUGCAAGAUGCAUUGACUGACUGGUCCGUUUUGACAAAGCUCUUGAAAGAAAAUGAGAACGAAAAGGAGAAUGGAAUGGACUCAACCUACAUGUCUAUUUAUCCUACUUUUUUUUUUUUACAAAGAAAUGGCAAUGAUUUUGCAGAAUGAAUAAGCUCAUAAAUUUACUUAACGACAGUAAUAUAUUUUCAAAGCCUUAGCUACUUAUUUUGUUAAUUCACUCGUUGCCUAAUGCAGAGUAUUUCUGUCAUGUUUUGGCUAACACAGAUCAAGCCUAGUCAUGGAUUCAAAAGCAUGCCCAAUGGAGAAUUGCAAUUGAGUUUGCUUUUUAGUCCAGGACUAGACUUAGUCUAAUCUGAUUCCGGGAACCCAGCCCUUAGAGUUUAAUUGUAUGACUAAAUAUGAAGAGAGUUGUACCUUCAAAAUAUUCCAACUUCCACAAUGAUUAAAUCUCUCUACAGCAUAGCAGCAUAGUAAACAACAAUCAUUUUGUGACCCAGUUGGCUUUAGUCCCUUUUGGCUCCUAAGUUCAUGCUGAGGUCACCGCCAUAGGUUCAUGCUGAGGUCACUGCCGCUAACUAGGUUCAUGUAUUUGUCAUCCUUCCAAAUAAGUAAUGUUUUGAAGCAACGUUUAAUUUGUUGUUGUUUUCAUGCACGGGAUAGACUUUAGGAUGUAAGAAUAUUUAAAUAUAUCCAGAAAGUCUAUAUUAUAUAAAUUAAAUAAUAUUAUGUUAAUGCCUCUUAAUCUCUUUUGAAAGUAUAUUGAAAUGUGUAUGUGCAGUAUUAGGUAUUAAGUUAGUUUGUACAAUUAGUAUUACAGUACAGUUAGUGGUACAGUGCAGUUAGUGGUACAGUACAGUUAGUGGUACAGUACAGUUAGUGGUACAGUUAGUGGUACAGUACAGUUAGUGGUACAGUUAGUGGUAAAGUACAGUUAGUGGUACAGUUAGUGGUACAGUACAGUUAGUAGUACAAAUUAGUGGUACAGUACAGUUAGUGGUACAGUUAGUGGUACAGUACAGUUAGUGGUACAGUUAGUGGUACAGUUAGU
rnacentral:lncRNA from 13 species